rnacentral:rRNA from 1 species
UAACACUGGCGGCAUGCUCAGACCGCAGUCUGAACGGAGAUACCUUUAAAGAUUCGGUUGGAAAAAGGAAUAUCUUAGUGGCGAACGGGUGAGUAACAGGUAAGAAACCUACCCUAAAGACGGGGAUAACAUUUGGAAACGAAUGCUAAUACCGGAUAGUAUACAACUUCGCAUGGAGAUGUAUUUAAAGGUGCUUCGGCAUCACUCUAGGAGGAGCCUGCUUCGUAUUAGCUAGUUGGUAAGGUAACGGCUUACCAAGGCAAUGAUGCGUAGCCGAGCUGAGAGGCUGAUCGGCCACACUGGAACUGAGACACGGUCCAGACUCCUACGGGAGGCAGCAGUUAGGGAUAUUCGGCAAUGGGGGAAACCCUGACCGAGCAAUGCCGCGUGAACGAAGAAGUAUUUCGAUAUGUAAAGUUCUGUUGUUAAGGAAGAAAGAUAGUGAUAGGAAAUGAUCAUUAUUUGACGGUACCUUGACCAGAAAGCCCCUGCUAACUACGUGCCAGCAGCAGCGGGUAAUUACGUUAAGGGGCGAGCGUUAUCCCGGAAAUUAUUGGGGCGUACAGGGGUGGCGUAGGUGGGCGGUCAA